rnacentral:rRNA from 1 species
CGAAGGAUGCAAGCGUUAUCCGGAUUCAUUGGGUUUAAAGGGUGCGUAGGCGGACUGAUAAGUCAGUGGUGAAAUUUCUUUGCUUAACAAAGAAACUGCCAUUGAUACUGUCGGUCUAGAGUAUAGAUGACGUUGGCGGAAUAUGACAUGUAGUGGUGAAAUACUUAGAUAUGUCAUAGAACACCGAUUGCGAAGGCAGCUAACGAAACUAUAACUGACGCUGAGGCACGAAAGUGCGGGAUCAAACAGGAUUAGAUACCCUGGUAGUCCGCACCGUAAACGAUGAUUACUCGUUGUUGGCGAUAUGACAGUCAGCGACCAAGCGAAAGCGAUAAGUAAUCCACCUGGGGAGUACGCCGGCAACGGUG